rnacentral:rRNA from 1 species
AUUGAACGCUGGCGGCAUGCCUUACACAUGCAAGUCGAACGGUAACAGGUCUUCGGAUGCUGACGAGUGGCGAACGGGUGAGUAAUGCAUCGGAACGUGCCUAGUAGUGGGGGAUAACUACUCGAAAGAGUGGCUAAUACCGCAUGAGAUCUACGGAUGAAAGCAGGGGAUCGCAAGACCUUGUGCUACUAGAGCGGCCGAUGGCAGAUUAGGUAGUUGGUGGGAUAAAAGCUUACCAAGCCGACGAUCUGUAGCUGGUCUGAGAGGACGAUCAGCCACCCUGGGACUGAGACACGGCCCAGGCUCCUACGGGAGGCAGCAGUGGGGAAUUUUGGACAAUGGGCGAAAGCCUGUUCCAGCAAUGCCGCGUGCAGGAUGAAGGCCUUCGGGUUGUAAACUGCUUUUGUACGGAACGAAAAGCCCCGGGUUAAUACCCUGGGGUCAUGACGGUACCGUAAGAAUAAGCACCGGCUAACUACGUGCCAGCCGCCGCGGUAA